GAAAGGAUGUCUUCUGGAGAUCCCUCUGCUGGAGUUUUGUAUUAAGCCUACAAUGUGGCUCUGCAGAAGCGUGACUCUGGAUGGCAACAGGGAUUAUCUAGUGAUUAUUGCAUAAAGAAUAUAAAGCAGCAAAGGAUCUUGCACCCCAACACCAACCUGACUGCCACAGACUUGCAGCAUAGUACAGAAACCGUUCCUUUUUUGUUGACUGCUCCAGUCAAGCAAGAGAUAAGACUGCAAACAGCAAAUUGCCUCAAGUUUAUGGAGACUUAGUAAGCAAGAGUCUGAAGCAAAAAGCAGCCUACUGUUAAUUUCCCAUAGGGAGGACCUGACAGCUGUCAUCUUCUUUUCCUUGGAUGUGCGAACCUUGCCAAACACAUAGAUGCAUUUCCUGGUGGCUUUUUCUGUUCAGAAGCAUCAUGACUAGAAGACUUAAAAUAUUUUUAAUUAUUUAUUUAUUCUUCUUAUAUAUAAAACAACCCAUAACUUUGGAAUCCUUGAUUGUCCAUAAAGACAAAUUUACUGACUGACUUUAAUGUAAUUUCUAGAUUUCAGGAAUUCUAAGACAUAAGACAUUUUGUUUUUACCUGCUUGAAAUUUUCUGGCCUGGCUCUUGUUAGACCACAGCAAGGCAAAUGUAUUUUCAGCCGAUAGGACUCUGCACUGGUAAAUUACAGUAGAGCUAGAGUUCUGAAUGUACAUUUCAUGAAUGAUGGAAGGAAUGCCUUCUAAAAUUAUUCUUAGGGUAAGAAACAGUAUCAAUUCAAUCUACUUCAACUGAGUCUAGACAAUUUGGUUUGUAUUGAAUACUUGCAACAUUGAACUAUAUAGUGCUGGUAAAAUAAAAUUUCUUUUGUUUUCUGCCUUAAAUGUUAAAAAAUAAAUAAUAUUAAUAAAAAAAUUAGGCUGGUCUCUAAAGGUACAUUCACUUCCUAAAAACAAGGUGCAAUUUAUUACUUGUCUGGUUUCAGAGUCUUUAGAAUAUACUUGGAUCAUGAUUUUUGCUAUACCUUGUUUGCUAGACUCCUCGUUAUCAGAGUGCAGUGUUCAUUUUUAAUCUGAAAUGCAAGCCUUUAAGGGAAAUACCAAAUUCUGAAAGAUAAAUUGAGCUUUCAAGAAUGUAAAGCAUAAAUGCUUCUGUAUGCUACAGGAGAGUCCCUUUGGGUUUCUUAUUGCUUUACUGGGACUUGCGACUUAGUGCAUGAACUGAAGCUGAACACAAUCAUCACUCGCUAUUUAAAUUUUUAAAAAAUACAUUUAAGUUUUGGCUCCUGCUAUAUAUUUUGGAAUAACAUCCCUGAAGUUACAGCAGUUCUUCUGUUGUUUCCCACUGUGCUCCUGCAGUUCUGUUGAGUGGUGAAUAUCCAAGACUUAAUCUGAUUGAUAGGAAGGGACCUGAACACACAGUCCUCUCACAUGUUAGACAUAUCCACAAGAAGUGCUCAUCAUGUCAUUAUAGUCAAUCAUAAAAGCUACAUUCAUGUGUCAUUUUUCACUCUACUCAAAUCAGAUAUGCAAUGACCAAGAUACUCUUAAAGAUUUACGUAAGUGUUGUGAGAAAUAUACAUAGUCUAACCAAUGUAUUUUCAUAUCAGAGUCUCCUCUUUACACAUAUGCUAUUUCUCCACUGAAGAUACAUGCAUAAUUUAGGACUAAACAUAUCAAGUUGGAUGCUGCAUCUCUUCUUUAGCCUGUUCUUCAUACUCCUUGUGCAACUGUAACUGUCUAUCUUCCAGAAGCUGUUUUUUCAGCAGAAGAAGGGAAGGCUCUCAUUACAGUCAGCAUUGCUUUAGCUGUUUGAGGAUGGGAAUAGAAAGAUUUUUAUAUCUUUAUUUAGGAGUUAAAUCUUCUUUUCUUGGCUACAUGUAGCCAUAAGGAAUACAACCUUCCCUGCCUGCGAUAAGACUGCUUACUCUUCUUAAAACUGUCUUUGUCUUCCACCAUCAAUACCACAAAGCAAAAGAGAGAUAAAAUAAAAAAAAUAUUUUCUGAAAAUAUAUGGGAGCUUAGUGAGAAGCUCUAGAUAGUGGGGGGAGGAGGGAGGGUGGAAAAGAGAGGGAAAUUAGAGAGUUUAUGAAGUUUAUGAAUUCUAAGCUCCAUCCUAGCAUGUUAUUUGAUGUUCUCUAAUUCAUUUUCCAUGCAUGUAAUGUUCACUGUGUACCAUCAUCCUUCUUUAAAAUGAUAAUAAAUGUUGAAACACAA